rnacentral:lncRNA from 1 species
GUGUGCCACCACGCCCAGUCGUAGAGCUUGCUCUGAAGUGACCUGCUUUUAAGUGUGCUUUUGCCUGGGCACCUGUGCCUGACGCUUUCCCACGCUUCUUAGACUGACUGGUAGAUGCCAUUUCUUUGAUCUGUUCUGCACUCACUAGACACGUGCAUAUCAGGCAAGUGCUCUACCACUGAGCUACAUCCCUUGCCCUAAGAAAGCUCUUCUUAGCAGGCAGCUUGGCAAACACUCCAGCAGACCCUGUGUGGUAGUCACAGGCCAUCGAGGUGGCUGUGAUUUCUCCCCGGCGGACCCCAGGGCUGAGGACGGUAGCUGUUCCUGCUCUCGUUCCAGCAGCUGACUCGAGCUGUCCUGAAUCAACUUCUGACCCACCCUGAGUGUCCAUCAGGAGUGGCCACACCCCUGAGCUUAACAGCAGCAGGAGCGUGGAGGAAGGACUGUCUAAGGCAUCAACCCACCCAGGAAGUAACAAAGUCCCGUGUCAUGUACAAAGCUGCCCAAUGCCCUUGCCUUGGAAGCACACUGUAUUGGUGGCUCUUUGCUCUCAUGUAGACACAAACUUCCCUGAGUGGUUUUCUGGGUGCUGGGGGUAGAACACGGAGCUUCGUAUGUGCCAGGCAAUGCCCCACCACUGAGCUACACUCCCAUCCCAGGAUUAAAUGAUUUUAUACAGAGCUCAGGAUGUCUGAGGGCUUCCCGGUGAGAGACUAGAACUCUCCAAGUCCCCUCCGCUUAUAUGGCUGGAUGGUCCAGGCCAGAGAAAUGCCCUAACAUGAGAAUAUGGACGAUUCUCGGGGAGGUGCUGUUCCCAUGUCAGACUCUUCAUUACUCUUGCCCGCAUCUUCCUAACUCCUUCACACUAGGCAAAGGCUGAAGCUUUUCCACUGUCUGUUGGUUGCAUGUCAGGCCUAACUAAGUCUUUAGCCAGCGACCACACUCUGGAGACAGAACUGACACAAGCAAUGGUUAGUAUCAGCCCCGUGCCAAGCAGACAUGCACCCCUUGGCCUUGAGCUCUACUCUCAAAGAUGGACACCUCCAUCUCGGCCUGUCGAGCUUGCCUACAGGUCUUGGGGGGGCCCAAGCUCUCCUUCCCCGCACCAAUAGACUUGGGUCUUUGGCUUUCAAGCAGUCUACAGCCCAGUUCCACGCAUCCCUUCUGGAGGGUCUCUGCACAGUGUGCCCCUGUGGCCAUGGAGAUGAAGCCCUGAGGCAUGCAAGCUGUCCAGAGUGACAAGCCACGAGCACACCAAGUCCGUCAUCCCCUCCUUCCCCACCUCCCAGCAUGUAAAGACUCCAAAUUCCACCAGGAGACAUUGGGAUGCCGCUCAUGAGCCAUGUUGGAGCUCGGUCAUGGCUGAUGAGCAAGGGGAUAAGGGAUUGGGGGGGGUCACAUGUGAGAGCCAUGGAGAGCAGAGAAGAGGUUAGCAGGGGUUAGUCAUGGCCACACUCCCUUCCCCUGCCCACACAUGCCUUGUCAAUGACAAUCUUAUCACCACAACAGACUUCAAGAUCAGACAAACUUAAAACAAAACAAGACACACUCAGCAAGACAUAAGGUAGAGAAGUUUGGGUUUUUAGUGGUCGGAGGAAAAAAACAACAGAACUCGGGGCCAUCUGUGUAGACCAGUCUUUGAAAGGACAGUAUUCCUUGACUCUGCCAAGACAAACUGAUGCCACAGAGGGGCUUCCUCCCCUGUUCCUGGCCCUCCAUAUGCUGGCCUUUAGCUUACUGGUCCCAAGGCCCCAAGCACCAACGGUAGACAGGACCGCAGGGGAACUGCCUGCGGACACUGGAGCCACAGGCUCUUUGUCUGUUCCCAUCCUCCCUUAGACAGUCAAAGGGAUACUGUGCCUUGUAAGAAACUGCCACGUACUCAUGACAUUCUGACGUGGGGCUAGCAGGAGUCAGAGAGAGGAGGGACGUUUGCUGGGCCUUGGCUCCCUGUUGGACUACGGUGGCUGCGGCCCCUCGGAGGCAGUGGGGAAGAGUGGGCGAGGUUACGUUACCUUCCUGGACACAGCAAGGGCAGAAGGAGAGAGGUCUACGCCGUGGAGUCCCGCCACUGGGCUCAACUUCAAAAAGGACCAAACAAGGAAGAGCAAGAGGAAACAGAGAAAAACAAACAAACC